UCUCGAUAGCGUAAAAGUCUUAGUUAACUCAAAUGUGUAUGGAGUUGGAACAUUUGCCUACGUUUGCCGCUAGGGGCGCUGUUUCAGUUGCAUACAAAUCUGAGUUAACUUUUACGCUAUCGA
rnacentral:pre_miRNA from 9 species